UCCUCACUUCACUUGUAGUAUCUUUCAGUGAGCCUUCUUUAUCCAGUGAUAGGUUAGGCAUCUUAAUAACUCUUCUAUCUCUGAAAGAGUGAAUCACAGAACGACCACCACCCAAACACAGCCUUUCUAACUAACUUGGAAGUUCUAAUUCCGCCAUGGCAGUACCAUCGUCACUGUUUUCUCUCUCAUUCCCCUUCGACCCUCAAAUCCAAAUCCAAAACCUCUCUUUCUCUCUCUCUCUGCCUUCUCACUUCUCUCUCUUCACCUCCACCAAACCCCGUUUCCCCGCUUUCAAACUCUCCUCUUCCCACUCUUCCUCUUCCCCUCUCACCACCGGCUUCCUCACUGACGACGACCUCCGCCGCCUCAACUCCCUCGAAUCCUUCCUCUACAGCUGCGACCUCCCCUCCGGCUCCCUCUCCGUCCGCCUAAUGCGCCCCCACGAGACCCGUUCGACCGUACUCCUCCUCGCCCACUCCUUCGCCGAGUCCUUGCUCAUUCCCGCCGCUUACGUCAACCUCCUGGCUUUCCUCAUCAACCAGUACCUCCUCCAACGCCUGACGCUCCUGCCCAACACCGCCACGCUCGUCGCCUUCUAUACUCAAACACCAUCGCCACCUACUGCUGCUGCUGCUAAAGAAGACGAGGAAGAAUCAUUACAAGAAGAACCACUACAAGAAGACGAUGGAGCACCCUUGGCUGGAACUGUCGAGAUCUGUUUCAACAGAAGAGGCGCCAAUGCUUCCGUUCCCUCGCCCACCCCUCCGAGGGAUUCACCCUACAUUUGUAACAUGGCCGUGCAAAAAUCUCUCAGGAGGAGGGGCAUUGGCUGGCAUCUUCUAAAGGCAAGUGAGGAAUUAAUUUCUCAGAUGAGUUCCUCAAAAGAGGUUUACUUGCAUUGCAGAAUGAUUGACGAAGCUCCAUUUAAAAUGUACACAAAAGCAGAUUACAAAAUUGUAAAGACAGAUAGUAUUUUAGUCCUGCUGAUGUUGCAGAGACGCAAGCACUUGAUGUGCAAGGAACUCCCUCUUUCAAGUACGACUAUAGAAUCAGAUCUGUCAGAGUAUGAUAAACAAAAGACUAUAUGAAUGCGUAUAUGGGUUGCAAAAUAUUUGUCAAGCAUUGAUAGCAAGAUGGACAUGGUGGUUUUAAGUUUGACUGGAGAAUAGAGAGUGGUAUCAUGCAUCCUUAUUUAUUUCUCUUAUCUUUAGGACAGGGACUGAAUGUUACAGGUUUCCAUUACGCAUAUAUUCAUAUACUAGGAAUCUAUGCUUUCCAUCAGCACAGUAGCCUAUCAAAGAAACAAGAUUUGGGUGGUCAAGUCUGCUUAAGAUAUCAACUUCGACUCGGAACUCACGCUCCCCCUCUGCUGCUUUAAUUGCUGGCAACUCCAUUUUCUUGAUUGCUACAACCUUCAGAAGGAGACUUGUUGUAUUAGUAUGUAUUCAUCUGUAUCAAAUUCACUAAUUUUGAGCAUUUUAUAAGAAACAUGAUUUCUGUAUGAAAGCUAUAACCGACGUUACAAAGUCUUGUGAACUAUGAUGAAUUCAAAUUCCUAAGGGCAAUAAACUUCUGUGU